AGAGUUUGAUCCUGGCUCAGAACGAACGCUGGCGGCAGGCCUAACACAUGCAAGUCGAACGAUGCCUUCGGGCAUAGUGGCGCACGGGUGAGUAACACGUGGGAACAUACCUUUUGGUGGGGGAUAACUUCGGGAAACUGAAGCUAAUACCGCAUACGCCCCUUGGGGGAAAGAUUUAUCGCCGAAAGAUUGGCCCGCGUCCGAUUAGCUAGUUGGUGAGGUAAUGGCUCACCAAAGCUCCGAUCGGUAGCUGGUCUGAGAGGAUGACCAGCCACACUGGGACUGAGACACGGCCCAGACUCCUACGGGAGGCAGCAGUGGGGAAUAUUGGACAAUGGGCGCAAGCCUGAUCCAGCCAUGCCGCGUGAGUGAUGAAGGCCUUAGGGUUGUAAAGCUCUUCACCCACGACGAUGAUGACGGUAGUGGAGAGAGUCCCG
rnacentral:rRNA from 1 species